GUGGGGAAUAUUGGGCAAUGGGCGAAAGCCUGACCCAGCAACGCCGCGUGAAGGAAGAAGGUUUUCGGAUUGUAAACUUCUGUCCUCAGGGAAGAAGGAAGUGACGGUACCUGAGGAGGAAGCCCCGGCUAACUACGUGCCAGCAGCCGCGGUAAUACGUAGGGGGCGAGCGUUGUCCGGAAUGACUGGGCGUAAAGGGCGCGUAGACGGCCGUCUACGUCUGGAGUGAAAGUCCUGCUUUCAAGGUGGGAAUUGCGUUGGAGACUGGAGGGCUUGAGGGCAGAAGAGGUAAGUGGAAUUCCCAGUGUAGCGGUGAAAUGCGUAGAGAUUGGGAGGAACACCAGUGGCGAAGGCGACUUACUGGGCCGUAACUGACGCUGAGGCGCGAAAGUGUGGGGAGCAAACAGGAUUAGAAACCCUUGUAGUCC
rnacentral:rRNA from 1 species